rnacentral:lncRNA from 1 species
CAGCAAGGCUUGGAGACAACGUAGCACCUCGGAGGGCUGGGCUCCCAAAAGCUCUUUCUCUCGGCUCAGACACCACCAUCCUUUUCCCUGAAAGAGUACAUCCCAGUGGUCCCCAAAGGGCCAUAAGUGCUUCCUUGUCUUGAUUUCCACCUCCUCUCGAGGGAGUAGGGUGGGCAGUGUCCCCCAGGGCAGGGUCCCUGAGGCCAUGGAGGUUAUAACAGUCUCAGCUUAUGUGGGUUACAGCUCCAGCAUCAGCGGAGACCACCCCAGUGCAACUGCAUCCUCUGAAAGUGCUUCCCUGUGGCCGGGUCCUCCAGAAAUCAGGCAGGGGUCUUUCAUCCAGCCUAAUCACGGUGAGAUUUGGGAUUCUGCUAAGAGCGAAAGUGCUGGAAUGUUACGGCAGUGGACGAGUGGAGGAGGAGCUGAAAUGCCAAGUGAAGUGCAAAUGGCAAAGUCCUGAUGGAAGGAAGGUGUGUCAGAAUUUGACGCCAAAAUCUGCAUGUGCUGUGACAAAACUAGCUGGUACGACGGCACCUCUUGCAUUGGCACAGAUGAGACCAUUUUAAAGCCACUUAGAAGUUUACCAAGGCAUGCUUAACAUGCGCUAUUUCUAACAACACGAAAAGAACUGAGAGGUAACAUACACCCCUGGGGUGUCUUGAACCCAUUUUUGCUUCCAGGGAGAAGGGCAGUUCCUGGCAGACCCUGAUAAGACAGGACUCCCUGGAUUUUUAUUUUUUAUUUGUUUAUUUAUUUAUUUUGUCUUUUUAGGGCCACACCUGCAGCAUAUGGAGGUUCCCAGGCUAGGGGUCUAAUCAGAGCUGUAGCCGCCGGCCUACACCACAGCCACAGCCACACGGGAUCCGAGCCGCAUCUGCGACCUACAUCACAGCUCACAGCAACGCUGGAUCCUUAACCCACCGAGCGAGGCCAGGGAUCAAACUCGCAACCUCAUGGUUCCUAGUCAGAUUCGUUUCCGCCGCGCCACGAUGGGAACUCCCUCCCUUGAUUUUUAAAGCUAAACCUCAAACACGAUGGAGGAUGAUGUGGGAAAAAGAAUAUAUGUAUCUGUAUAUCUGGGUCACUUCGCUGUACAGUAGAAAUGGACAGAACACUCUAAAUCAACUAUAAUGCAGAAAACAAAAGUUGGAAAAAAAUAAAAUAAAAUAAAGCAGGACA